rnacentral:rRNA from 1 species
UACGGGGGGGAGCAAGCGUUGUUCGGAUUUACUGGGCGUAAAGGGCGCGUAGGCGGCGCGACAAGUCACUUGUGAAAUCUCCGGGCUUAACCCGGAGCGGCCAAGUGAUACUGUAGUGCUAGAGUGCGGAAGGGGCUACUGGAAUUCUCGGUGUAGCGGUGAAAUGCGUAGAUAUCGAGAGGAACACCUGCGGCGAAGGCGGGUAGCUGGGCCGACACUGACGCUGAGGCGCGAAAGCCAGGGGAGCGAACGGG